CUGAAUAUGAAAAAAUUGAAAGUUUUAUGUAAAGUCCACAUCAUUGAUUUUGCCAAGGGGACACAGGAACACCUAAUGUGUAAUUUGAGGAACUAUAUAGUCAAAGUAGUGGAGUGCCCUAAUAAGGUACCUGGAAGGGAGCAGCAGAAACAAGAUCCGAUCUUUUCCAGAAAAUGAGCUUUUAUUGAGAAAGUAAAAUGAAAAGAAAAUUGCAUGGAAAAUUACUGAAGGGUUGUCCUAAAAGGGAGAGGGGUUAAGAAAGAAAGAGAAAUGAGCAAGUUCCAGUCCUGCAGGAGGCUAUACAGUGAUGCUGUAGCAUGCAGGAGAAAGGAUGGUUGAAGUCUGAAAGUUAUAGAGGGAUGAAGCAAGUUAUGCUUUCCUUCCAUGUGACCUGCCCAAAAACUCAUCAGUGGGAGUGUGAGAGUCCAUGACAUCAGGGUGAAUCCAAAAAGCAGAGAGGAAGGGCAGGUGUUCCUUAGCCAUGACACAGCUUUACAGGACAGGAUCCCUACAUGGAGAUGUGUGGAGAUUGGUACCUGAAGCCAGGAUCUCCAGAAAUAAGUCAGGUUCAGUGUAUCACAGCAAGAUUGCUCUCCUGAAAUCACACUGGCCAUGGAAUCUUGUAGAACCUCACUAAUUUCAGGGGCCUAGGGCUAGUAGCAACCAGAAGGAAAAUUUCCAGGUUCACCAAAAAAGGAUAUAAUGGACUGUCCUUGAUGAAAAGGGUUGCUUGACUCUUCAAGGGGAUGUUUCAGUACUAAUUGGAAGGUCACUGAAGAAUUCUGGGCUCACAGGAGUCAAUUGACAAAGUGGUCUUGAAUGAAUUAGGAAGUCAGGGAGAUUUGUUUGUCUUGCCUUCCAGUGUAUAGAGGGCUGGGCCACUUUCUCUUACAUUUAAGGUGUCAGCAGGAACUGCAAAUGCAUUUUGACCUAACCCAAUAGACCAUGCAAACUAACAUUUCCAAACAAAAUGAAGACUUCUGAGCCAAGGCGCUUGGAGGUAAAAUUAUACUUUGUGGAAAGAACCUCCUUGGUCAACAGCCUGCAGCAAAUCUCAUGGGAACCGUUGAACCUGGUUGUUGAAUAACCUCAUAGCAUGCAGAAAUUGCCUCUUGUCAUAAAACCAAACCAACUUUCUUUGAACACUUACUGAGGGUGAAUUCUGGGUUCAGUUCCUCUUGUUGUCCAUUUCUCUGAUUUAUUUUAUAUUUUUCUGUGGGUAACUGUUCAUCAUAGAAGGAGUUUUGCCCUUCCUUGAUUGCUAUCCUGCUGCCUCCACUUCUUUCCGUGGGAAAUGAUGCAUAUUUUUAGAAUAAAAUAUUGCUACCACAUUUAGUGCAGGGGCACUAAAUGGACAAUUUACCAGUUAUCUUGGAAAGGCUUUCUUCAUUGUACUUUGUAUAAUGUUAUGGUGUGGGCAGGAUGUAAAAUAUUUGGAUUAUGUACUUCUAAAUGCACUUUCCUGUUAUUAAUUCUCUUUUCAAAUCUAAUAAUUCUGCUUGCAAUAAUUUAUUUACAGUAUAGCCAAGAGAUAAAUCUAUAAUUCACAAAAUACAUCAUUAAUAGGAUGCAGAGCCUCCCACUUGGACUAUUGUGAAGUUACAGCGUUGUAAAUGGGCUGCUUUUGAAAAUGGUCAAAAAACUUCAGUUGGUAUGGGAUGUAGCUGCAAGAUGUUUUUAUGAACCCAUUAUACUGUACUCCAACAUCUUCACUGGUUCCCAGUCUCUUUCAGGCCUAAUUCAAAAGUGCUAGUUUGAACUAUUAAAGUAUGGUUUGACAGUUUUGUAUCUGAACAAUUGCCUCUUCCUUCAUGUACCUAUCAUGCCUUGAGAUCAUUGGCUGAGGCGCUUCUCUGAUGGUCACCACCAAAUAAAGGGCCUUUUCAGUAGUGGCCCCUUGGUUGUGGAAAGACCUUCCCAGACGGGUCAGCCAAACACCUAUUUCACAUUUAUUUCACCUUGGAACUUUUAAAAACCUUUAUUAUGCUGUGGUUUAAUAGUAUUUUAGACCUGUGGAGUCCCCGUCCCCAUCCCCAUCCCCUGCUUUGCUCUUUAUUUUAAUUAUUUAGUGCUGUGGUGUUUUAUUUUUCUGCUCUCUGUUUUAAGGUAAAAUGUCUUGAUUUUACAUUUCUGGUUUUGAGGCAUGAUAAUUGUGAUUAAAAAAACAAAAAACUUUCACCACCUAGCAUACUUACGUUAUAUUACUGAAUGGCUAAACAAACAAUGAUAACUUUGGAUUAUCAGUAUAUUGACUUAGCAUUGAUUGAUUGAUUAACUAACAGGAUUUAUUUACUACUCGAUCAUCAACACUUUAAAGCAGUUUAUGGAAAAUAUAAAAUAUUCAUAAAUCAUUGAUUAAAUCAGAAGUUAAAAACAAGUUAACAAAAAAUUCAAAAUAUGAGUAAAAAUAGCACUUUGAAAAAUAGACAUUAUGAAAUGUCUUAUUAAAAUACAUGUCUGGGUAGCCCCACUUAAGCACAACAGUUUUUAGCAGUUGCCAAAAAUAGUACAGCAAAGGCGCUUGCUUCUAAUAUCGUACUUUGGGCAGGGAGUCCCAAAGUAUAAGUGCUACCAGACUGAAGGAUCAAUUCCUUUCAAGUGCAGAAUGAACCUUAUGUGCAACUUGUACCCAAUAUAUGAGUGAGCAAGAUUGGAUUCUGGUGUAUCAUGGUCCUACUGGUAAAAUCAACAUUGGGCAUGUUUCAACCAAAUCAUUUUUUCUUACAUUGAACCAUUAGGUGUUGAUUAUUAUUAGCUCAUUUUCACCAGACGUGUUGAGGAAUAAAUGUCUCUCCUCCAUUAAAUUUAUGGGAGAGAUUGAUAUAGCUUGUACAGCUUCAUGUUGGGAAUGCCCAUUAAAUUCAAGAAUCUAAAAGCUCUAGAGACUUGAGGACCAGUUCACACUUCUAAUUUCCCUGGUAUGCAAUCAGUUGCAACCUAUAAUGGAAUACCAAAGCAAUUGUAACAACUGAGAAAAGUGUGGCAUGAGAGUGACUGCUGACAAAAAGUAGUUGAUUCAUACAUGUGUUGAAUCAGCCAUGAGAGGGAAUGGCAGAGGCUAGAAUACUUGAUAAGCAUGUUUCACGUUUUACACAUACAGUGGUACCUUGGUUUACAAACUUAAUCCGUUUCGGAAGUCCGUUCUUAAACCAAAACCGUUCUUAAACCAAAACCGUUCUUAAACCGAGGCACACUUUCCCUAAUGAGGCCUCCCGCCACCAGUGCCCAUCCACCAUUCGACUUCCGUUCUUAGACCGAGGUAAAGUUCGCUAACCAGGACACUACUUCCGGUUUUGCAGAGUUCAUAAACCAAAUCGUUCGUAAACAGGGUUGUUCUUAAACCGAGGUCCCACUGUACUCUGAUGUCAAGUAACUCAGCUAGAUGGACAUUGGAGGGCGCCUUUUUAUAGUUUCUAAUGUGUCAUGAAAUUAAGUACAGUGGUACCUCUACUUACGGACGCGAUCCAUUCUGGGGUGCUGUUUGCACCCCGAAAAGUCGGUAAGUAGAGCGCCGCUUCUGCGCGUGAUGCAAUAGAGCGCUCCUGUGCAUGCGGCGAAACCCAGAAGUAUACACUUCCGGGUUUGCUGUGUUCGCAACCCAAAAUACACAACAUGAUCCUAACACAACUAGAGGUAUGACUAUAUGUAUUCUGCCUACUCUGGUUCAGGAGCAGCACUUAGCUAACAAAUAACCCCUCUUUUCAGAGCAGGUUGAUACUAUUCAGACUGUAGAUCACUUGCUGUGAUAAGGUACAUUUUUUCUUAAACAAAAGAGGCUGGAACAAUUUUUGUUCUAUUUGGAAAACAAGGCUAUGGGAGCAGGAAGGAAUCUAUAUAGGCCAAAUAAAAAGGAUAAAAUCAGAGUAGAGAAGAAAACUGUAUUGUAAUGGCUCUCAGAGGAAAGAGCCAACGUUGGUUAGUAAAAAAAAAAAAAUUUUUUUUUUUAAAAAAAUCGGCAACUUGCCACACAUUUUUUUUAAUCCAUAGUUUAUUUAUCAGAAUAGAUAAGCAGAGACAGUGCUUUAGCUCAGCUGAUAGACCUUGAGACUUACCGGUACUCUCAAGGUUAUGGGUUCCAGUCCCACGUUGGGCAAAAAGAUUCCUUCAUUGCAGAGUGGUGGUCCCUUCCAGCUGUACCAUUCUGUGAUUCUGUGACCAUUGGGUACUGCUAUUCAUGCAGGCAUAUGCUGAUUUUGUAGAGGGUGAACUGAGCCCACAGACAGUCGCAAAUUAAUUUUAAGAGAGCUUGUACUGUAUUAGUAGUAUGGCAAGCUGAGGCUUCUCUGGUCUUGCAAAUGUUGACUUUGUAAAGAUGGCUGAAAAUUGCACACGAGACCAGUAGUAAGGGAGUCUGCCCAGUUUUAGGUUUAGCAGACCUCUGCUAAUUUUCUCUGUUGCAUGUUAGAGGAUCUGGGAUUUAGCCAUGCAUCGUGACAUCAUCUGUUUUGCAGACAGUUGUGAGACUUCAGAAUAAAUAGCAGUCUAAUUCCAGCAGUCUGUGGGUUGGUUUUCUGCUGAGUGGGAGCAGAACAAAACCAGCUUUGUGAUGGGUUGUUUUUAUGUUUCUCCAAGGAGCUGUUGGAAGUCUAAAUUAUAGUUUUUCUGAUGGCUAUUUGAGAAAGGGCAGCUAAAAUGGAGGGGUGUUACUGGGAAAACAGUUGUCAGAUGGCUACAAUAGAGGUUUCCAUUAGCUGAUGAAGCACUUAGAAGUGGGAGGUCUAUGGAGUCUGAUCAGCAUUGAUAUGGAAAAGGAGAGUGCCUGUCAGAGAUCAGUUUUCUAAAUGGAUGUUGGGGGAAAUGUUUGUCCAGAAUCAGGGCUAUGUCCUGGAGUGAAGGUUAGAACUGAAGAAGGUUAGACUAUUGGAGGGGCAGGGGACCUAGUCACAGAAAGUAGAUUGUGUUGCACUCAGUUGGGUUUAUAGCUUGGGUUGGAGGCUGAAACGGAGAGCUAGUAAAACAAAUUCAGCGUUAAAAAAUCCUUAAUUUAAAUAUCAAGGUGUCUAGAUAACUGCUGCUAGAAAGCUCAAGAUACACAAUUGUUGUUGUUGAGCUAGGUUCCCAGAAGGUAGGCAGCCAGAAGAGGUCCUUCAAAUACUCUUGCCAGAAUCUUAAAGGUUGGUCUAGUUCAAAAAAAAGCAAGCAAUUUGAUUCUAAGGGUUCAUUUUAUCUGAAGACUAUCCAGUUGGACUCCAACUCAUUACUAGAUGUGGAUAUGUUUAGCUGUAGUGAUUUGUUUGAAGUGCUGUGAUAUUUGGAAGAAGACCAUAAUCUUGAAAAUGAAAUCUUUCCUGGCCUGCAGUUCGGUGUGUGAUUUGUUCCCCUCCAGGGCAUUCUUGUUUCUGUUUAGCAUUCUGUGAGCCAUAUUGAGACCUGGGCCUUGUUUAAUCAUUUUGGUUCUGAUUGCUUACUUGUAUCCAUGGGUCGCAUCUUGAAUUCAGUGUUUUGCAUUACAAAUCCGCUCUCAGGAGAUGGGCAGAAUAUAUGGCUCCAUCUGCCAUGUCUCAUUUUAGCUUUUUUAAAUGUGUUCCCAUUAACAGGUGAAAUACUCAGCCCACAGAGAAUUAGGCUCAUGUCUCGGUAUACAAUUGAAGAUGAAUGCUGUCCAUGCAUUCAUCUUCAAUUCUGCAGCUUGAUGAUGAGGUGGUUGUAACAAAAUAUUCAAAAGUGUUAACCUGUUAUUUAUGCUGUUGAGAUCAUAGGUUUCAGUCAUGUGAUCAGCUUGUGGUUUUUUUAAACCCUGAUCUGUUUACUUCCUUAUUCUGCCUAUGCACCAAAUUCUAAAUUCCACAGAAAAUGCAAGAAAAGCAGAUUACUCAAAAGAAUAUAAUUUACGCUCUUUUGAUCUUUGGAAUUGGCUAGAAAUGCCUUAGAAAUGAAGAUUUCUCCUUAUUACUAUAGACUUUAGAAGUUUAAAAAAAUGCUAUACUGAAGGUGCUAUUAAUGAUUCUGAUGCUGGUAUUAGGAUUUAUAUAGAUUAUCAUUUAUAUUAAACCAUAAUUUGGUAUCGCUCAGCAGUUUUCGUGAUAGAAUUAUUUUUAGUGAUUAAAAUACAUCUUUUCCGUGUCACAUUUAAUUCCUUAACCAGCUAGUUAACACCUUUGUUUAAGAUAUUCUGCUUCAGCAUGUGACACUGCUUGGAUUUUAUUUUAUUUUAUUUUAUUUUUUAAGCUGAGAAGAUGAACAUUUUAUCUGUUUGAAGGGCUAAAAGUAGAUUGGAGAAAAAUGAUCAUUUUUAUUUUUUAUCUAGUAACCCUCCUAAAAGAUAAAAUAACUGUUGCUGUAGCAAGAAACUGCUUCUUUCAGAAGUGGCUAUGCUGAGCUGUUUUUUAUGCAGUCCAUUUCGUAGUGAAAAUGCUGAUUUGAUAUCCAAUUAAUUAUCUCAAAUUAUUUCUAUCCUAUGUAGAUAUUUUAGAGGGGAAGCCAAGGAAGAACAUUAUCACUUGCUGAUGCUGAGCAAACUAGCCCACUUCACAGAGUGUAAUAACUGCAGUCAGAUGGUCAUCCAUAUUUGUGACGCCAAAGAUGAGCACCUUGGCCAUGCAAUCAUCUCUCACCCAUCCCCUGCUCCCAUUGCACACCAGCUUCAGUAUGGAGAUCCUGACUUGCAUUACAACUAGAGGUUUCUGUUUUGUCCGAACGGGAAAACUCUACCUUAAUGUUGGUUAACCAACUUGGAUAAUAAGGCAGAAUUUCAUCCUGGAUUUUAAGAAUAAUAAGCCAGGACCUCUCUGCCUGUUUUUGGCAUGCAGUAGGAGAAGGAGAGACGUGGCCAUAGUACUCGACCUUGAUUUCAUCAAUGUCCAAAUGAAGCUUCUGUGUUCCUGUAAGCUUUUCUUUUUCUUUUUACCAAUUUUAAGUCGUUGGGAAUAGCACUGUAGUGUUCUGGGCUGGAAAGAGUAUUGGUAGGCAACUUUGCUCUGCCAGCAGCAGCAGUUUCUUAGUCUUUGGACCUUUAAAAUCAAACAAGUAGAAACUUUGGCUCUUUAGAUCAGCCUUUUAGCUCUUUUCUCACUCCAGCCUAUCCUUGUAACUACCCAUUCAAGAGAAGCGGAAGACAGAGUGUGGUGACAUUUUUUUCCUUGUUGGUUCUCCUUCAAGUUUAAGAAAAACCAACACAUUACUUCCCUACUAGCUGAAAAGAGUACCAGGCACUACACUGCCCCAGGAAUAUGAUGUGGAUGGGUGAGGAAAUGAAGUGGACAGUGGUUUAGUGAUGAGGUGGGUAUAAUGUCAUGAAGUAAUUGCAAGGAUGAGUUAGCUCUAAUACAUUCUAGAAUACGCAAAUAUUUCAGUGUGACUGCUAAAACGUUUAUUUUAACCUUACAUUCCAUAUUGUUUUUCAUGGCAUAAAAUGCCCUAGAAUAUACUGGCUAUGGGGCAUCUCUUGCUCAGAUCUGCUCUGCUUUCCUCUCCCCCCACUUUGGAAUCAAAGAAGAUUAAUUCCCAACCUCCACCUUCCAUUUUCAACAGCCCACUUAAUCCCUGUUCAGUUCUUCUUUUCUCUGUAUUACCACAUGCUCACUCAUUCAUGGUUUGCUUAGCAUUGCAUGCAACUGUGCUUUGGGGACAACAUCAUGGCAGACAUGAAGUCCUGAGUAGACUCUGGCACUGCUGACUUCUUACGGGCACUGAGGUCCCUCAGGACAGUCAGUCUAGGCACUGUUGGCACCAAAACUGAGAUAAUCUCCAUCAGAUCAAGCUGGGAAACUGUUCGGCAUCUGGAUGGUCAGCACACUAAGAGCAGAUCCACUUU
rnacentral:lncRNA from 1 species